UCUACAUUCAAUCUUUCAAUGCGGGUUGUUAUGCAAAACUAAGCUAAAAUAUUAUCUUAUAUUUCGCAGACCGCACUAAUGCAAAUGUGGCCUCUGCUGCUACAAACGCGGCGAGCAGACGUGAGCGACCGCUUAAAAUGCUCCACUCAGCACAAGGUUGUGUGCAACUGGCACAAGGGCAUGUCUAGUAGGCAUGUCGGUGUCAAGUGUUACCAACGACAAUCAAAAUCAGAAAAAAUAAUUAAAUAUAUUAUUUGAUUGGAAAAAAAAAUAUCCCGACAAGGAAUGCUUAUAAAGGAACAUAAUUAAAGACUUAAAUAUUUCAUGAAUUAUC
rnacentral:lncRNA from 1 species